AAAGAAGAGGUGUCUUGAAUUCUUGUGAUAACCUGAAGAUUAACAUGAAGUGCAAAAACACAUUCAGGAACAAAAACUAUAAAGAAGAUAUCUGAGGAUCUGUUUUGGGAGACUUAUUAACAGAAGAUGUGCACAGAAUUACGUGAGGACAAACAUAAAUACACCAUUUGGAGUGGGAAAGUAUCUGGAGGACUCUCAUUCAGGAGAACCCAUUUCUAACAGUCAGGAAGUAAGAAUAAAAGUACUUAACCAUGGGAGGAAACCUACCUGCUCCAAUUUCAUUUCCAACGCUUGGAAUAAUAUCAUCAUCCAGGCAAUCUGCUACACUCCCACCUUACCGCAAUUUCUGUAUCAUUAUGCCUGGGCUAGGAAACUUCACUGAUCCUAGAAGUUGGAUACGAAAGUUUUCAUAAAACCAAAACACAAGG